rnacentral:rRNA from 1 species
UACGUAGGCAGCAAGCGUUGUUCGGAGUUACUGGGCGUAAAGAGUGCGUAGGUGGUGCCCUAAGUCUGUUGUGAAAUCUCCCGGCUUAACUGGGAGGGUGCGGUGGAAACUGGGGUGCUUGAGUGUGGGAGAGGUAAGCGGAAUUCCUGGUGUAGCGGCGAAAUGCGUAGAUAUCAGGAGGAACACCGGUGGUGUAGACGGCUUACUGGACCACGACUGACACUGAGGCACGAAAGCGUGGGGAGCAAACAGG